rnacentral:rRNA from 1 species
GCAUUAAGCCCCCGCCUGGGGAGUACGGCCGCAAGGNUAAAUUCAAAGGAUUGACGGGGCCCGCACAAGCGGCGGAGCAUGUGGAUUAAUUUGAUGCAACGCGAAGACCUUACCUGGGUUUGACAUAUACCGGAAAGCCGUAGAGAUACGGCCCCCCUUGUGGUCGGUAUACAGGUGGUGCAUGGCUGUCGUCAGCUCGUGUCGUGAGAUGUUGGGUUAAGUCCCGCAACGAGCGCAACCCUUGUCCUGUGUUGCCAGCGCGUAAUGGCGGGGACUCGCAGGAGACUGCCGGGGUCAACUCGGAGGAAGGUGGGGACGACGUCAAGUCAUCAUGCCCCUUAUGUCCAGGGCUUCACACAUGCUACAAUGGCCGGUACAGAGGGCUGCGAUACCGUGAGGUGGAGCGAAUCCCUUAAAGCCGGUCUCAGUUCGGAUCGGGGUCUGCAACUCGACCCCGUGAAGUCGGAGUCGCUAGUAAUCGCAGAUCAGCAACGCUGCGGUGAAUACGUUCCCGGGCCUUGUACACACCGCCCGUCACGUCAUGAAAGUCGGUAACACCCGAA